UACGUAGGGUGCGAGCGUUGUCCGGAAUUAUUGGGCGUAAAGAGCUCGUAGGCGGCCAACUAAGUCAGACGUGAAAUCCCUCAGCUUAACUGGGGAACUGCGUCUGAUACUGGAUGGCUUGGAUUCGGGAGAGGAAUGCGGAAUUCCAGGUGUAGCGGUGAAAUGCGUAGAUAUCUGGAGGAACACCGGUGGCGAAGGCGGCAUUCUGGACCGAUAUUGACGCUGAGGAGCGAAAGCCAGGGGAGCAAACGGG
rnacentral:rRNA from 1 species